GUGUGCAGAAUAUUAAAUGUCAAAUGCAAAUAUGAAAAUGGAGCUACAUGGUUGCAGAUAGUCCCUAAUUGAUAUUGAGCAGACUAUUCCCUUUAAAUGUUAAUGAAACUGUUGUAAUUACUAAAUGACCAAAACAGCUCAGAAGCCAGGGUUCACAGCUGUAAACCAUUACUUGUAAAUUACUGGCACAGCCCCGCAUUAGCAGAUGGCUCGGCCCAUGGAAGAAAACUUCCUCAAGAUGCUUUUCUUCCAGGCCUGGGCUCAGGAGCAAAUUAGAUGAGCAUAUUAGAGAAGGCCAGAGUGCCUGUUUGGACAUGUCGCUGGCGAUAAACACCUUCUUUGAUCUUCUUAUUUUUUUCAUUACAUUCUUUGCAGAAAGUGCUGAAUAUCACAGAAUACAAAGAAAAGAGAAGGCGAAACUGACAGAGCUUAUAAACAUAGCAGGAAAGUUCAGAUAUGCACAUUUCUGCUGGAGUUUUAAGGAGCAGUGUGUUUCCUACAUCCUGAAGCAGAUGAACUUGAUGGGAUGGAGUUUACAGGUUUGGUGAUAGAAGUUGAAGAAACUUCUCUGUGAAGAAAUCAACAUCAUCCACCAAGAGGAAAAGGGCAUGACAGGGUUACAAAUCCAAUGUGUGAAGAAGUUCAGAUUGCCUCCCUGGAGACCUAGAAACAAAGCUUCCUGGAGAAAGUGAGUGGUCCAGGUUGAUGUUCAUUUGCCUACUUAAGUUUGGGAACUAUAACUUUGUAACUGUUAUAUGUGACUAUUCAAUCACAAAAUUGUAGAGACAAAACAUGAAAGUAAUCUUCAAAGAUUUCUGUCUUUCUUGGUUCCAUGUGUUUAUAAUUAAUGGACACUUACUAAAAAUUUUAAGUCAUCCAAAAUUUAAG
rnacentral:lncRNA from 1 species